AUUGAACGCUGGCGGCAGGCCUAACACAUGCAAGUCGAACGGUAACAGGAAGCAGCUUGCUGCUUUGCUGACGAGUGGCGGACGGGUGAGUAAUGUCUGGGAAACUGCCCGAUGGAGGGGGAUAACUACUGGAAACGGUAGCUAAUACCGCAUAACGUCGCAAGACCAAAGAGGGGGACCUUAGGGCCUCUUGCCUUCGGAUGUGCCCAGAUGGGAUUAGCUAGUAGGUGGGGUAACGGCUCACCUAGGCGACGAUCCCUAGCUGGUCUGAGAGGAUGACCAGCCACACUGGAACUGAGACACGGUCCAGACUCCUACGGGAGGCAGCAGUGGGGAAUAUUGCACAAUGGGCGCAAGCCUGAUGCAGCCAUGCCGCGUGUAUGAAGAAGGCCUUCGGGUUGUAAAGUACUUUCAGCGGGGAGGAAGGGAGUAAAGUUAAUACCUUUGCUCAUUGACGUUACCCGCAGAAGAAGCACCGGCUAACUCCGUG
rnacentral:rRNA from 1 species